rnacentral:rRNA from 1 species
GAGUUUGAUCAUGGCUCGAGGACGAACGCUGGCGGCGUGCCUAACACAUGCAAGUCGAACGGAGAUGUUGAUUUCGGUUGACGUCUUAGUGGCGAACGGGUGAGUAACGCGUGAACAAUCUGACCUUAAGAGGGGGAUAACAACGAGAAAUCGUUGCUAAUACCGCAUAAGACCACAAUGCCGCAUGGCGAAGGGGUCAAAGGAGCAAUCCGCUUAAGGAGGGGUUCGCGUCCCAUUAGGUAGUAGGUGAGGUAACGGCCCACCUAGCCGACGAUGGGUAGCCGAGCUGAGAGGCUGAUCGGCCACACUGGAACUGAGACACGGUCCAGACUCCUACGGGAGGCAGCAGUGGGGAAUAUUGGGCAAUGGGCGCAAGCCUGACCCAGCAACGCCGCGUGAGGGAAGAAGGUUUUCGGAUUGUAAACCUCUGUCGCAGAUGACGAAACAAAUGACGGUAAUCUGUGAGGAAGCCCCGGCUAACUACGUG